rnacentral:rRNA from 1 species
AUGUACGCUGGCGGCGUGCCUAACACAUGCAAGUCGAACGGAGUCCAGCCUUUAAGACCUUCGGGUCAAAGAGGGGAAGACUGAGUGGCGGACGGGUGAGUAACACGUGGGCAACCUGGCUCAUAGAGGGGGAUAACAGAGAGAAAUUUCUGCUAAUACCGCAUAAGCACACACUGCCGCAUGGCAGAGGGUGAAAAGAGAAUCGCUAUGAGAUGGACCCGCGUCUGAUUAGCCAGUUGGCAGGGUAAGAGCCUACCAAAGCGACGAUCAGUAGCCGAUCUGAGAGGAUGAACGGCCACAUUGGGACUGAGACACGGCCCAAACUCCUACGGGAGGCAGCAGUGGGGGAUAUUGCACAAUGGGGGGAACCCUGAUGCAGCGACGCCGCGUGAGUGAAGAAGUAUUUCGGUAUGUAAAGCUCUAUCAGCAGGGAAGAUAAUGACAGUACCUGAAUAAGAAGCCCCGGCUAACUACGUG